GUAAGGAAUAUUGGACAAUGGACGCAAGUCUGAUCCAGCCAUGCCGCGUGAAGGAUUAAGGUCCUCUGGAUUGUAAACUUCUUUUAUAAGGGACGAAAAAAGGCUUUUCUAAGUCGUCUGACGGUACCUUAUGAAUAAGCACCGGCUAACUCCGUGCCAGCAGCCGCGGUAAUACGGAGGGUGCAAGCGUUAUCCGGAUGCACUGGGUUUAAAGGGUGCGUAGGCGGGCAGGUAAGUCAGUGGUGAAAUCCUAGAGCUUAACUCUAGAACUGCCAUUGAUACUAUCUGUCUUGAAUAUUGUGGAGGUAAGCGGAAUAUGUCAUGUAGCGGUGAAAUGCUUAGAUAUGACAUAGAACACCUAUUGCGAAGGCAGCUUACUACGCAUAUAUUGACGCUGAGGCACGAAAGCGUGGGGAUCAAACAGGAUUAGAAACCCCGGUAGUCC
rnacentral:rRNA from 1 species